rnacentral:rRNA from 1 species
UACGAAGGGGGCUAGCGUUGCUCGGAAUGACUGGGCGUAAAGGGCGCGUAGGCGGAUGGCACAGUCAGAUGUGAAAUUCCCGGGCUUAACCUGGGGGCUGCAUUUGAUACGUGUUGUCUUGAGUUCGGAAGAGGGUCGUGGAAUUCCCAGUGUAGAGGUGAAAUUCGUAGAUAUUGGGAAGAACACCGGUGGCGAAGGCACUUUACUGGGCUAUUACUAACACUCAGAGACGAAAGCUAGGGUAGCAAAUGGG